CUCCAUUCUAGAGUGAUGGCUCUACUACUGCACUCUCCAGAGCAUUUUAUAAGGCACAAUCAUUUUAAGAGUAUUUUUAAAAGAUUUUUCCCCCAAUCUUCUGGUCAGUAAACAGUGAGCAUUAUUUGUAAAUAAAUGAAGAUCAGAAAAAGAGGAACUAUUGAGAAGCUGCUUUGCAAGUAUGAGAGGAAGAAUGUGCUGACAGAGGGUGGUAGAAGAUUUUAAAUGCAUACUACAUUUAGAGGCUUAAUAUUCUUGAUAUUUGAGGCUCUCCUUGUGGUAAGAAUAAGCAAACUGAACAAGUUUGCCAGUUCCUGUUAUAGAUAAAGAAGAAGAAAAGAAAUGGAAAAAAAAAAAGAAAAGAAAAGAAAUUGAAUUAAUGGGUGACUCUCCUCCAAGUGGAAAAUCAGCCCUCAUGCUCCUUCCAGAUUUUGAUUUCACCAUAUUCAACAUGGCUUGCAGGGUUACUGGGCCCAUUUACAUCAAGCCAUCAUGAUGGGAGACAACAAGGAAGACCUCUCAUUGAAGACUUACAUGUGCCAUGGCUUGAAUUGGUGCACACACAUUUGCCAACAUUCUACUUGCUUACUUACUCACUCACAUGGCCAAACCUAACUACAAGGGAGGCAGAGAAACGCAGUCCAGGAAUAUUGAAAGAGUGAAACUGACUUGAGGAACAGACAGCCAUUCUUUGAAAUAAGAGAAAGGCUAAAGGUUUUGAGAAAUAAUCAUAUGUUAUCCUAUGAGUCAUAUGAUAACAAUUGUCCUUUACAUGAAUGAUUCAAAUUUGCUACUCAUAGCUCAAAUGAAGCAAAGUGUUGAAUGAUUCUUAGGUUAUACAUUUGUAAUUGUGUCAAUUUUUUGCAUUAGUCAAGGGAAUUGUUUUCUAAGAAAAUUCCAACUCCAUGUCCUUAGCAUAUAUCAAUAUUCAUAUUUAUAUUUAUACAAAGAAUGGAAAAUGUAAACAUGUUAGAGAGUCUCUGAGGAAGACCAUGUUUGACUCUUGAUCACUGAUGAACCUCAAUUUCCUAGAAAUGUAUGUGGCACGGAGUGGACAAUAAAUAAUGCUUCUAUGGUUUAAACAAAUAAGAAUUUUGUAGGUACUUUCUCACACACAAAUGUAUAUAAGGCUGUCAUUAUUUGAGUUGAUUUAUAAUGCUGCUUAAAUACACAAGCUGUGAAGACAUACUUUUUUCCCAAUUGACUUUUUAUCUGUCUGACAAAUGUAUUUUUUAAAAGAUUUUUUAAAUUUAUUUAUUUAUUCAUGAGAGACACAGAAAGGCAGAGACACAAG